ACCCGCUGAACUUAAGCAUAUUAGUAAGCGGAGGAAAAGAAACUAACAAGGAUUCCCCUAGUAACGGCGAGUGAAGCGGGAAGAGCUCAAGCUUAAAGUCUCCAUGUCAUUUUGACUUGGCGAAUUGUAGUCUAUAGAGUUUGUUGUCAGCACGGCGAUCUGGGAUAAGUCUCUUGGAAGAGGGCAGCAUUGAGGGUGAAACUCCCGUCUUUGCUCAGAUACGCUUGUGUGUACGACACGUUCUCUUUGAGUCGAGUUGCUUGGGAAUGCAGCUCAAAGUAGGUGGUAAAUUCCAUCUAAAGCUAAAUAUAAGUGCAAGACCGAUAGCAAACAAGUACCGUGAGGGAAAGAUGAAAAGAACUUUGAAAAGAGAGUUAAAUAGUACCUGAAACUGCUGAAAGGGAAUCGUAUUGCCUCUAGUAGUCGAAUCCUUUGUAUAUUUCACUCGUUGGCAUUGGUGUGCUUUUUGUUGUGUUCGCAGCCUUUGUGUUGCAGCCAACUUGUUGCAUGCCAGAGCGAACGGGUGCCCUGUACAUUGGUGUGACGUCAAAGUCAGUUGACUUGUUGCGGGAGAUGGCUUGUCGAGAAGGUGCUCGAGGCGCUUUUGUGCUUGGAAGUUAUAGCUUGGCUUGCUAGAAGUCGUGACAGAGACUGAGGUGCCUACAACACGCUCUAAGGUCAACGGAGGUCUCUCUUGAGUGACCACUUGGACAGCUUGCUGUGCCUGUGGCUUCACUUGGGUGAUCGAUCUUUGUUGUAAUCUUUUGCUGUUCGGGACUUUGGCGAAAUGGAGCAAUACGUCCCGUCUUGAAACACGG
rnacentral:rRNA from 2 species